rnacentral:lncRNA from 1 species
GCCCAGCCCCGCGCCUGGCGUGCCUCCGACGUCGCCUGCGCCGCCCAGCCCCGCGCCUGGCGUGCCUCCGCCGUCGCCUGCGCCGCCCAGCCCUGCCCCCGGCGUGCCUCCGCCGUCGCCCGAGCCGCCCAGCCCCGCGCCUGGCGUACCUCCGCCGUCGCCUGCGCCGCCCAGCCCCGCGCCUGGCGUACCUCCGCCGUCGCCUGCGCCGCCCAGCCCUGCCCCCGGCGUGCCUCCGCCGUCGCCUGCGCCGCCCAGCCCCGCGCCUGGCGUGCCUCCGCCUUCGCCCGAGCCGCCCAGCCCCGCGCCUGGCGUGCCUCCGCCAUCG